AUUCAAUGUAUUCACUACCACCGCUUUUGCGUAUAUCGCAAGAGGGCAGCUGCAAAAGAGACAUCUAUCAGCUAAGGUUAAUAAAACGGUAAUAGAUCGGUUCGGAGCAAGAUUUCACGACAAAAGACAAACAAUGUCGUUGGAAAGGAUUGGAAAAAUAAUCAAAGAUGUCUACAAUGAUCCAUUUAAGUGGUCAGCAGUAAAACACCUAGGAUUUUUCAUAAUAGGUGUUAAGAUAGCCCUCGAAUGUGAUGGAGUGACUCUUAUGACACCUAUUACUGUUUAAGUUUGCAUAGAGAAUCCAAAGAAUAUAUUUAAAUGCUACAAAUGUUUCCAUAUCUUACACACCAAUCACAUCACCACGACUGAUUUUGUCUAUAUAACUCUACUCAUGUCAUGUAUAACAAUGUAUAUUUUAUAAUUAAAACAAAGUUAUAGAA